UACGAAGGGGGCUAGCGUUGCUCGGAAUCACUGGGCGUAAAGCGCACGUAGGCGGCUUUUUAAGUCAGAGGUGAAAUCCUGGAGCUCAACUCCAGAACUGCCUUUGAUACUGGAGAGCUUGAGUCCGGGAGAGGUGAGUGGAACUGCGAGUGUAGAGGUGAAAUUCGUAGAUAUUCGGAAGAACACCAGUGGCGAAGGCGACUUACUGGACACAUAUUGACGCUGAGGUGCGAAAGCGUGGGGAGCAAACAGG
rnacentral:rRNA from 1 species